rnacentral:rRNA from 1 species
GACGAACGCUGGCGGCGUGCUUAACACAUGCAAGUCGAACGGAAAGUCUCUUCUUUUUUUUGGUGCUCGAGUGGCGCACGGGUGCGUAACACGUGUGUAACCUGCCCUUGACUUUAGGAUAACUUCCCGAAACUGGGAUUAAUCCUCCAUAGCACCUCCUGCUGCCUGGUGGGUGUUGUAAAGUUUCGGCGGUUGGCGAUUGACUUUCGGCUUGUUAAGUUGUUGGUGGGGUAGUGGCUUACCAAGGCUUUGGCUGGUAGCCGGCCUGAGAGGGUGACCGGCGACAUGGGGAAUGAGAUACGGCCAAGACUCAUAAGGGAGGAAGGAGUGGGGAAUAUUGCACAAAGGGCGGAAGGCUGAGGCAGGAACGAAGCGUGCGGGAUGACGGACUUCGGGUUGUAAACCGAUAACGCCUGUGACGAAGCGUAAGUGACGGUAAUGGGUAAAGAAGCAACGGCUAACUACGUG